rnacentral:rRNA from 1 species
UUCCGGUUGAUCCUGCCGGAGGCUACCGCUAUUGGAGUUCGAUUAAGCCAUGCGAGUCGAGAGUCUUAGGGACUCGGCGUACCGCUCAGUAACACGUGGGUAACCUGCCCUAUGCUGGGGAAUAACCUCGGGAAACUGAGAAUAAUGCCCCAUAGUCCACUACGCCUGGAACGGUGAGUGGAUCAAAGCUCCGGCGGCAUAGGAUGGGCCUGCGCCGUAUCAGGUUGUAGGGGGUGUAAAGUACCCUCUAGCCAUCAACGCGUACGGGUGUUGGGAGACAUUGCCCGGAGAUGGAUUCUGAGACACGAAUCCAGACCCUACGGGGUGCAGCAGGCGCGAAAACUUGGCAAUGCGAGAAAUCGUGACCAGGGAACUCCAAGUGCUUGGGGUAAGACCCAAGCUUUUCUUGACUCUAAAAAGGUCUUGGAAUAAGGGGUGGGUAAGGACGGUGCCAGCCGCCGCGGUAAUACCGGCGCCUCAAGUGGUAGUCGCUUUUAUUGGGCCUAAAACGUCCGUAGCCGGUCUGGUGCAUUCGUGGGUAAAUCAACCCGCUCAACGGGUUGAAUUCUGCGAGCACGGCCAGACUUGGGACCGGGAGAGGUGUGGGGUACUCUCAGGGUAGGGGUAAAAUCCUGUCAUCCUGAGAGGACCACCUGUUGCGAAGGCGCCACACUAGAACGGAUCCGACGGUCAGGGACGAAGCCUAGGGGCACGAACCGGAUUAGAUACCCGGGUAGUCCUAGGUGUAAACGCUGUGGACUUGAUGUUGGGAGUGCUCCGAGCACCCUCAGUGUCGAAGCGAAGGUGAUAAGUCCACUGCCUGGGGAGUACGGUCGCAAGGCUGAAACUUAAAGGAAUUGGCGGGGGAGCACUGCAACCUGAGGAUUGUGCGGUUUAAUUGGAUUCAACGCCGGG